rnacentral:rRNA from 1 species
AUUGAACGCUGGCGGCAGGCCUAACACAUGCAAGUCGAACGAGUGGCGGACGGGUGAGUAAUGUCUGGGAAACUGCCCGAUGGCGGGGGAUAACUACUGGAAACGGUAGCUAAUACCGCAUACCAUCGGAUGUGCCCAGAUGGGAUUAGCUAGGAGGUGGGGUAACGGCUCACCUAGGAGACGAUCCCUAGCUGGUCUGAGAGGAUGACCAGCAAAACGGGAACUGAGACACGGUCCAGACGCCUACGGUAGGCAGCAGAGGGGAAUAUUGCACAAGGGGCGAAAGCCUGAUGCAGCCAUGCGGGGUGUAUGAAGAAGACCUUCGGGUGGUAAAGUACUUUCAGCGAGGAGGCGUUACUCGCAGAAGAAGCACCGGCUAACUCCGUGCCAGCAGCCGCGGUAAUAC